CUGAUGGAACAGCAAAGCUGAUGAGUUUGAUCCUGGGAGCUCUGACUGUUCUCCUCUUAAUGGUCAUCAUUGGUCUGGUUGUUACAAUCAGGAAACUUCAGAAAGCUGCCAAUGAAGAACAGAAUCCACAACAGCCUGAGAACCAGGCCUCUGAAGAGCUGAACUACGCAGCUGUGGCUUUCCGUCCAAAAACAAGAAAAACAAGAGAAGUGGAGCCCAAUGUUGUGUAUGCUUCUA